GGCAUGGUGAUCUUUACUGUAAGCAUGGCGUGCUUUACUGUAGACAUGGUGUUCUCUACUGUAAGCAUGGUGUUCUUUACUGUAAGCAUGGUGUCCUUUACUGUAGACAUGGUGUGCUUUGCUGUAAGCAUGGUGUUCUUUACUGUAGGCAUGGUGUUCUUUACUGUAGGCAUGGUGUUCUUUUCUGUAGGCACGGCGUGCUUUACAGUAGACAUGGUGUUCUUUACUGUAGACAUGGUGUUCUUUACUGUAGACAUGGUGUGCUUUACUGUAGGCA
ensembl:lncRNA